UUCUCCAUGUCGGCUUAUGGUUGGGAUGGUCCACCAGAUCAGCAGUGGAUCUGAGGCAACUAAAUUUUUAUCUCGGUCGAGGGGGCUUUCGUUUUCGUGGUUUUGGUUUGGAGAAUCUCUUAUCGAUCUCUACCGCGCUGCUCACGUGACACCUCAGAUAGCUCGGAUAGAGAAAGCGAGGGAUUCCAGCACCGACGAGAAACUCGAAGCCCGACCCAGCGAAACCAAAGAGCCGGUCUCCCGGCCGAUGAUGAGGAUCCUCCCGAUGGCCGCCGCCUCCUCCUCCCUCCAACUCGCCGCCCUCCGCCCCCGUUCGCCCUUCUCCUCCGCCGUCCAGCUCGCGUGCCUCGAUAUCCCCUUCGCCCCUUGCCGCCCCCUCGCUCUCUUCCAUCUUGGCAGCGCUAUGCAUCAUGAGCAGUUGUUUGGAAUAAAACCUUUUAGGUUGAUAAGAAAAGCGAAUGGUAUAGAGGCCAGUGCUGCUGGAAAUACCACGACACAAGCAAGCACCACCAUUAGUCAAGAAGAGGCCUUAGAGUGGGUGAAAAAGGACAAGCGGAGGCUUCUACAUGUUGUUUAUCAUGUUGGGGACUUGGACAAGACAAUAAAGUUCUACACAGAAUGCUUAGGAAUGAAGUUGCUGCGAAAGCGUGACAUUCCUGAGGAAAGAUACACAAAUGCUUUCCUUGGAUAUGGGCCUGAAGACUCACAUUUUGUUGUUGAACUCACUUAUAACUAUGGGGUUGACAAGUAUGAUAUUGGAACUGGUUUUGGUCACUUUGGUAUUGCAGUUGAGGAUGUUACCAAGACAGUGGAUCUUAUAAAAGCCAAGGGAGGAAAGGUGACCAGGGAACCUGGUCCUGUAAAUGGGGUCAAAACUGUGAUUGCCUUUAUUGAAGAUCCUGAUGGCUAUAAGUUCCAGCUUUUGGAAAGGGGCCCUACACCAGAACCCUUGUGUCAAGUAAUGCUUCAUGUAGGAGAUUUUGAUCGUGCCAUUAACUUCUAUGAGAAGGCAUUUGGUAUGGAGCUUCUAUGCAAACGAGACAGUCCCGAGUACAAGUGUACCAUAGCAAUGAUGGGAUAUGGUCCUGAGGAUAAAAAUGCAGUGCUGGAGUUGACCUACAACUAUGGGGUUAAAAAAUAUAACAAAGGAAAUGCCUAUGCACAGAUUGCAAUAGGCACGGAUGAUGUUUAUAAAACUGCAGAAGCAAUAAAACUGUAUGGGGGAAAAAUUACUCGGGAACCAGGUCCUUUACCCGGCAUUAACACGAAAAUCACUGCCUGCUUGGAUCCUGAUGGCUGGAAAACGGUCUUUGUUGACAACAUAGAUUUUGCCAAGGAACUAGAGUGAACCAAUUGUCAUGCUGAGAUUGUCAAGGAAUGUCUGGCCUCUGAUCACUUAAUGCAGCCUUUGCCAGUCAAGUCUUGAUGACUGUAGACAAAAAAUUGGGAUGGCGGAACGGGAUAGGCGGAAGUACUAGACCAAAAUUUGCAGUUGGACCUGAAAGUUAGAGCAUGGGCAAGACUUAUGGGUUACGUUUUUAUGUUUGCUUAAAUCCUGCUAAAUCAAACCCUUGAGAGUUGAGAGUGAACUUAUUCAAAGAAGAGAUACCUGUUGCAGCUCCAGCAGUCAAGUGUCAUGAUAUCUCCACUUGUCUGUACGUUAACGGCAGGGUGGGUUACCGACAAGAUCUGCUCAUGACGGGCCCCAAAAGCUUGAGCCAUCGCUGCGCAGUGAUGCCACCAGUGCUGCAGCAGAAGCAAUGGCUGCUGUAAUCUUUGAACCAGAGUUGGUUUUUUCUCUCUCUCCCCACCCAUCGUCUCCCCUCGUGGCAACCCACCAAGGAGCUGGACGUUUGGACGAGUUAAAAUGAAAAGUUCAGUUCAUACCUAUAUGAUCUCUUGGAGAGAUGGGAGGGCCAGUGCCAAUUGAUUCAGUUGGCGCCGGUGGUGUAAUUGUCGGCUUUUUCAGUGAAGCUCCAUCUUCAUAUCUGGCUUUAGCCAGGGCAUUCAGAACAUUCUUCAGCUGAGGGCGGGGCUGGUGAACUGAAGUUUGGUUUCUGCAUGCAUGUGGAUUCUGAAGGACCGCUGCUUUCAAGCAUAGCAAGGGGCUUUCGAGAUCUCUGCGGCAGAUGGGCUCUAUGACUUUGCAAGGAACUACAAGCUCUCCGUAGGAGUUUCAGGAGCCUGCAGCGAUGACGAAUGCCAGCUUACGAGGCCUUCCUCUUCAAUGUUCUCCAGCUGCUCAGAUGGGCACUUGAGAUGAUUGACGCUGAUAUGAACUUUGAUCCAGGGCCUCAAAUAAUUGCACCCUUGGAUUGAAACAGUGACACAAAGUUAAAGGUAUUAGCAUAUAUUUAAUGAAAUGAUGGAAACAAAACAUAUGU